rnacentral:tRNA from 1 species
GGAGAGGUACCCAAGUGGCCAAAGGGGACAGACUGUAAAUCUGCUGGCAGACGCCUUCGCAGGUUCGAAUCCUGCCCUCUCCACCA